rnacentral:rRNA from 1 species
GAUGAACGCUAGCGGCAGGCUUAAUACAUGCAAGUCGAGGGGCAGCAGGAAUAGCAAUAUUUGCUGGCGACCGGCGCACGGGUGCGUAACACGUAUACAAUCUGCCUUUAACAGGGGGAUAGCCCGGAGAAAUCCGGAUUAAUACCCCAUAACAAUAGAACAAGCAUUUGUUUUAUUUAAAAGCUCCGGCGGUUAGAGAUGAGUAUGCGUCUGAUUAGCUAGUUGGUGAGGUAACGGCUCACCAAGGCGACGAUCAGUAGGGGAUCUGAGAGGAUUAACCCCCACACGGAUACUGAGACACGGAUCCGACUCCUACGGGAUGCAGCAUUAAGGAAUAUUGGACAAUGCCCGCAAGGGUGAUCCAGCCAUGCCGCGUGCAGGAAGACGGCCCUAUGGGUUGUAAACUGCUUUUGUACCGGAGAAAACCUCCCCUCGUGAGGGGAGCUGAUAGUAUGGUAAGAAUAAGCAUCGGCUAACUUCGUGCCAGCAGCCGCGGUAA